rnacentral:rRNA from 1 species
UGGGGAAUAUUGCACAAUGGGCGCAAGCCUGAUGCAGCCAUGCUGCGUGUAUGAAGAAGGCCUUCGGGUUGUAAAGUACUUUCAGCGGGGAGGAAGGGAGUAAAGUUAAUACCUUUGCUCAUUGACGUUACCCGCAGAAGAAGCACCGGCUAACUCCGUGCCAGCAGCCGCGGUAAUACGGAGGGUGCAAGCGUUAAUCGGAAUUACUGGGCGUAAAGCGCACGCAGGCGGUUUGUUAAGUCAGAUGUGAAAUCCCCGGGCUCAACCUGGGAACUGCAUCUGAUACUGGCAAGCUUGAGUCUCGUAGAGGGGGGUAGAAUUCCAGGUGUAGCGGUGAAAUGCGUAGAGAUCUGGAAGAAUACCGGUGGCGAAGGCGGCCCCCUGGACGAAGACUGACGCUCAGGUGCGAAAGCGUGGGGAGCAAACAGG